GACGAACGCUGGCGGCGUGCUUAACACAUGCAAGUCGAACGGAAAGGCCCUGCUUUUGUGGGGUGCUCGAGUGGCGAACGGGUGAGUAACACGUGAGUAACCUGCCCUUGACUUUGGGAUAACUUCAGGAAACUGGGGCUAAUACCGGAUAUGAGCUCCUGCUGCAUGGUGGGGGUGGGAAAGUUUCGGCGGUUGGGGAUGGACUCGCGGCUUAUCAGCUUGUUGGUGGGGUAGUGGCUUACCAAGGCUUUGACGGGUAGCCGGCCUGAGAGGGUGACCGGCCACAUUGGGACUGAGAUACGGCACAGACUCCUACGGGAGGCAGCAGUGGGGAAUAUUGCACAAUGGGCGGAAGACUGAUGCAGCAACGCCGCGUGCGGGAUGAAGGCCCUCGGGUUGUAAACCGCUUUCGCCUGUGACGAAGCGUGAGUGACGGUAAUGGGUAAAGAAGCACCGGCUAACUACGUG
rnacentral:rRNA from 1 species